rnacentral:misc_RNA from 1 species
CCUCCUUUCUACGGAGUACAAUUGAAGUUAUCCAUACUUCUAGACUAAAGUUAAUGGUACAUAUUCGUAUCCAGUUUUGAGAGAAUUAUUCUCUCUUUUUGUUCUUUGAAAACUGAAUUAGACAUUGAAAAAUUAUCAAAUUAAUAUUUCAAAGUUUAGAUCAACCUAUAGAAUAUUCAACAAUAGACAACACAAUAGGUCAUACAUAUUAACUA